rnacentral:rRNA from 1 species
AUUGAACGCUGGCGGCAGGCCUAACACAUGCAAGUCGAGCGAGCGGCGGACGGGUGAGUAAUGUAUGGGGACUGCCCGAUAGAGGGGGAUAACUACUGGAAACGGUGGCUAAUACCGCAUACUAUCGGAUAACCCAUAUGGUAUUAGCUAGUUGGUAAGGUAAUGGCUUACCUAGGCUACGAUCCCUAGCUGGUCUGAGAGGAUGAUCAGCCACACUGGAACUGAGACACGGCCCAGACUCCUACGGAGGCAGCAGUGGGGAAUAUUGCACAAUGGGCGCAAGCCUGAUGCAGCCAUGCCGCGUGUAUGAAGAAGGCCCUAGGGUUGUAAAGUACUUUCAGUCGGGAGGCGUUACCGACAGAAGAAGCACCGGCUAACUCCGUGCCAGCAGCCGCGGUAAUUC